CCUACGGGUGGCAGCAGUGAGGAAUAUUGGUCAAUGGACGAGAGUCUGAACCAGCCAAGUAGCGUGAAGGAUGACUGCCCUAUGGGUUGUAAACUUCUUUUAUAUGGGAAUAAAAUGUUCCACGUGUGGGCUUUUGUAUGUACCAUAUGAAUAAGGAUCGGCUAACUCCGUGCCAGCAGCCGCGGUAAUACGGAGGAUCCGAGCGUUAUCCGGAUUUAUUGGGUUUAAAGGGAGCGUAGGUGGAUUGUUAAGUCAGUUGUGAAAGUUUGCGGCUCAACCGUAAAAUUGCAGUUGAAACUGGCAGUCUUGAGUACAGUAGAGGUGGGCGGAAUUCGUGGUGUAGCGGUGAAAUGCUUAGAUAUCACGAAGAACUCCGAUUGCGAAGGCAGCUCACUGGACUGCAACUGACACUGAGGCUCGAAAGUGUGGGGAGCAAACGGGAUUAGAUACCCUUGUAGUC
rnacentral:rRNA from 1 species